CUUUCCUUCCUUUGGCUCUGCUGUCAUGGUCGGUGGUGCAGGAAAGCUGAGUGCCAGUCAUUGGGGGGGCUAGUCACCCUCCCUUUUUGUUGUGGUGAAGAUCCCUGGGGAGCCCAAGUGAGUGACCACUUUGCUGUGGCUGCACCUGACACACUUGCAGGUCUCAUCGGCUGCCAGCGGUGGAGGAGAGGACGAGGAGAUCAGCGCAGACGAGAAGUGAAAAGGAUGAAGAAAACCCAAUCGAUCCAGAAUCCUCCAUCAUAAUCUUGUUGACGUCCUCAGAUGGUGCAGACGGCAGCCCUGGAGCAACUUUAGAGAACAUGUUUAAUCCAAAAACUGCCUUUUAUUUAUUUUAAAAAGGUGCCACACAUCUGAAAUACUCUACUGCAUCCAUGUGGCUGAUGCAUGAAGUGCAGAGGAAAGAAAUCACAUUACAGGUUUUUAUUCUUCCACUGCUGGCUUUUAUUUCCAAGCAAAUGUACAGUAGAUUGCCAUUGACAGCUACAGAAAGGUUGGCAAAAAUCCACAAGUAAAUCUUGAUAUGACUGUUAAAAACUGUAUAUAAAAAGACCCCAAAACUGUACAUCAAUUAACAUUACUACAUUUAUAUUAUAUAUACUGUAUCUGAGUGCUUUAUAGAUAUUGAUGGUUAAGAGAAAUAUCAUACAUUGUAAAAGAGGAAAUAACAUUCUGUUUGAAAGCUGUCAGUUUAGGUCUAGUUGAAAGAGUUAGGACAAGAGCAACUUGUACAUUACAUCCCAUAAUUAAUGGCGUUUAAAGUUUCUACAGUAAGGUGUGAACACCACAAAUCUCUUUUCCAGCGUUAAAGCUAAACAUACAUCUCCAGUGUUGUUCGAAUACUCCUCUACAUAAAUAGGACGCACACCACAUACAGUUUUCAGGACGUAAAAAAACAUAAUCUCUAACAUAUACAAAAUGCGUUUAAGUAAAUAAGUGUAUUUUACUGAUCAAGUCAUUAACUCAAAGGGCUUUUAACAAGUUCUCCAGCUGAUAGAGAAACAGGAAGUACACGACUAUCUCUUGGAAAGAUUACAUUGCACAAAAAAAGGGGAUUUAUGGCAAAGUUAUUUUAAUCAACUAUAAUAACUCCUCUAUUGUAUCCCAUAAAGGUGAUUGGUUUGUGUGCUUUUGAUAUUUGGUUGACGUGACUCCUUUAUCAUAUCAUCUGACACUGAACGUCUUUGCUUUCCUGUUAUAAAUAUUGAAUUUCUUUAGUAGUCAAAGAUGCCAAAUUGGAAAGGAAACAGAAUAUUGAUUUUAAAUCGAGUCAUCACGUCAGCCUCAUAUCUUUCCAGUGUGAGACCAUUAAUAAUGAGGUAAAGGGGAAUAUUAAACAUUACAUAUAAUAGAAAACAAUAAAAGCAACCUCUCAGAGACAGGUGCCCUCCUGGAUAUGUAUAAAACAUCUGGAAUAAAAACAAUAAAAAACAGAUACACCAUCUCCUGUAUUAUUUCAGUGCUGCGUUUGAUCUGAAUAAGUGUUCUUGGUCAUGUG